rnacentral:rRNA from 1 species
UCCUACGGGAGGCAGCAGUGGGGGAUAUUGCACAAUGGGGGAAACCCUGAUGCAGCGACGCCGCGUGAGUGAAGAAGUAUUUCGGUAUGUAAAGCUCUAUCAGCAGGGAAGAAGAUGACAGUACCUGAGUAAGAAGCCCCGGCUAACUACGUGCCAGCAGCCGCGGUAAUACGUAGGGGGCAAGCGUUAUCCGGAUUUACUGGGUGUAAAGGGAGCGUAGGCGGUUUAGCAAGUCAGAAGUGAAAGCCCGGGGCUCAACUCCGGGACUGCUUUUGAAACUGUUGAACUAGAUUGCAGGAGAGGUA